AUUGAACGCUGGCGGCAGGCCUAACACAUGCAAGUCGAGCGGAUGAAGGGAGCUUGCUCCUGGAUUCAGCGGCGGACGGGUGAGUAAUGCCUAGGAAUCUGCCUGGUAGUGGGGGAUAACGUCCGGAAACGGGCGCUAAUACCGCAUACGUCCUGAGGGAGAAAGUGGGGGGUCUUCGGACCUCACGCUAUCAGAUGAGCCUAGGUCGGAUUAGCUAGUUGGUGGGGUAAAGGCCUACCAAGGCGACGAUCCGUAACUGGUCUGAGAGGGUGAUCAGUCACACUAGAACUGAGACACGGCACAGACCCAUGCGGGGGACAAGAGGGGAAAAUUGGGCACAGUGGGCAAGAGUGUGAUAGAGCCAUCGCGCGUGUGAGAAGAAGGUCUGCGGAGUGUAAAGCUCUUUAAGGGGAAAAAAAGCACAAGAAUUAAAUACCGCUGUGUUUACACUUCCCCAACAGAAAAGACCCGCUCAAAUCGCG
rnacentral:rRNA from 1 species